UACAGAGGUCUCAAGCGUUGUUCGGAUUCAUUGGGCGUAAAGGGUGCGUAGGCGGCGCGGUAAGUCGGGUGUGAAAUCUUGGAGCUUAACUCCGAAACUGCAUUCGAUACUGCCGUGCUUGAGGACUGGAGAGGAGACUGGAAUUUACGGUGUAGCGGUGAAAUGCGUAGAUAUCGUAAGGAAGACCAGUGGCGAAGGCGGGUCUCGUGGACAGUUCCUGACGCUGAGGCACGAAGGCCAGGGGAGCGAAACGGG
rnacentral:rRNA from 1 species